AGGGAGAGAAGGUACUGCUUCAACUGGAGGGCGAGAUGUCCAGCCUUCCCGCGCUCUUGUCCUAAUCGUGAGGAAAGUAUUGUGUCCUUCCCAUCCGCGCUCGAUGCACCCGUCUCCCCACAUUCUUCGCCUUCAAUUGUCUCUUCGCCCUCGAGGCUCUCCUCGCCCUCAAGGGCCUUCUGUCCUGCAAGAGCCUCGUCGGGCGUGCGGGCCUCGCUGCGCCAGCUGUCCCCGGAAGCGUCCCGGAAGUCCAUGUCGGAGCUGCGCUUCGGUGCAUGGGCCUGAUGGUGGGUCUCCGCCUUGAGUCGGGGGAGGGCGUCGAGGAAAACGCCGAGAAGAAGUCGCCUUUCUUGAGCGACUUGGGCAGCGAACACGUGGGUGAUGAAGCCGCGGACGAUUGGCGGGAGGCGCGGCGCCGUCCGACGCUUUUUCGACUUGAGAAUCGCAGACGAAAGGGAACAGGAGAGCGCCGCAGAAAUGGGUUUCCCGAUGGAGGCCCAGACUUCCUCACCAGCGGGCUCAUCUUCUUGAGCGUCCUUGAUAUUCAAUAUCGCCAUUCGCAGCGCUGCACCGCUCGCGUCGCCGUCGGCGGGCCUUGAGGUCCCAGGAACCCCGCAGCCGCGCCCCGGCGUCCCCACUUUGCCGCAUUCAGGCUGCCUCAGACCCCCGUCGGUUUGCGCCCGCAGCUCCGGAGUGCCUCUCUGGCUUCCAGAUCGCCGACUGUCUGCAGGCGUCGCCUCCACUGCGAAGGUCACCGCCCCGGCGUCGCUGGUGGCACUCGCGUGGGCCUUUUUCCGACACUCGGAAACUUCACACCCGCGCUCCCCGGGAACGUUGGAACUGGAUCUUUCGCCUUCUUCGGAUGCGCCCCUGAUGCACUUUUGUGUCGCUGUGUGAGACCCACCAGGGGCAUCACGUCUCGCGUCCUCCGCCGUUCCGGCCUCGGCCCUGCAGAUGUUUGCGCGAGGCAACGCUUGCUUCAGGCCUGGCUCGUCGUCCGCGGAGUUCUCCGCGUCUCCACACAGGUUGUGAGUUGCGUCCUGACGUUUGCUCGGGUCGGCACACGUGGCGCGUUCUGAGGGCGUCGCCGCCGAGUCGACGGAGAAGCGCUCGUUUCCGGGACUCGCAGAACUCGGUUCGUUGUCGCCAAGAGCGCCAAGCACAGUUGGGGUUCGUGGCGUCGGCGGGAAGGGCUUCAGCUCCUCAACGAGUUCUGAGGGCAAGCGCCUUUUCCAGAGCGCGAGAGAAGACAACGCUUGGGUGGGAUCUGCUUUCAAAAGGGGGAGAACGGGGGAGGCGUGCUGCAGAGUCGCAGGGCUCGCGGCGAGCGAGAACGCCCCUUUUUCUUCGCGUCUGUCGGACGCGGCUGCGUUCGACAAAUGUGCACCUGAGGCGAAAGAAAAGUUUUCACCUGGGAUCCCCUUCCCGCUCGUGGGCCUUGCCUCAGACGACGGCGGCGCACAGCCGCCGAGAUCACCGCCAGUCACUGUCAUGGCACAGAACCCGGCGUAAAACGAGAAUGUGGGUCGCUUGAAAGGUCCGCGCGAAACGGAGUAACAGGGCGAAAAGCGGGGGAAGGAACUGGGAACCCCGUCUCUCAGUCAUGCGUCAGUACACGCAGUCUUUAGCUUACUCGAAACGCUCCCUUUGUCGCUCUUCUUCGCAGAUGCGUCGGCGAGGAAAGGAUCGUGCAGGUUGGAAGCUGCACACAGGAACGCGAGUGGACAAACGAUGGCCGGGAGAGCGGCGUUUCAAAGAACUCGCAAAACACGACGGCCCUGAGAACUGGAUUGCACAGGUGCCGCUCUGCAAGACGGGAAGAAAAACGUCUGCAACGCAGACAGGCUUCCGGAAAACAAGCUGUAGGUACCGAGGUCUUCGUCGGACAUUCACUUCGACGAGGCGAGACAGCGACAAGGUCAGACCAGCAGCGCGGAUAACGCGCGCUCUCUAUACACAAAACGGUAAAAAACGACGGAGAGAGGAACUCUAAGUCUCUAGUCAUCACGCCUUUCGCGUCUCCAAAGUGCGCGAGACAUUUCUGGCAAGCAUGACGGCGAAAAGCCAAGAGAAACAAACAUCUGUUGAAAAACACGGUGCAUCGUACGUGUGUAUGUGUGGCCACACAUACGCUUGAUCUCCUUUUGAGGUCGCACGGAAAUCCAGCGACAGUUGACGGAAAAAAUGAGUUUUGCCCCGCUUUGACGAAGCCGGAAGAGACUCAACGACAAGACAGUACGUCCACAGUUUCGCUCGUUUGCAAACGCGUUUCGACGAACGCUCUCAAAAAAGUGGCUUGGUCAGUCGGCGGAAAGCCACGCCUUGCAUGAUGCGUGCCUUUGCGGAAAGCUCAAGAGCGUGAGCGUCUUGUCUGAGUCCCGAAAGAUCACAUUCAUGGCAAACCCAGAUUCUACCAGAAUGUUGGACGAAAGGCACACGCACACUAUCUGGAGUGUGCGCUUGUCUCUAGACCUUGAGGGGUCGCGACGACCUCAAAAGCAGCCUCGUGUUGAGAUGAAAAAAAGCUCCCGCGACAGCAAGCGGCGGCGACGAAAAACGUACGCGAGGCAUGGAGGAAACGCCAUUGGACACAAGACGCGAUUCUUCGGAGAAGGAGGAUCCCUGAUCUCAACCGGCGUCCACCAGUGAAGAGAGUGAGACUCGCCUAUACAAGAGUUCUCACGUGGGCGGGGCCGGAGGCCGCAGCAGACAAAUCAAGGAUCGGGAUACGCGGUCCGACGCUUCCGGAAAGGCUCGGCACACUGGGAGUUCUAGGAAACUCGGAAAACCAAAGGAUCUUUGCCGCUGUUUGACGCGAACCAGCCGUCUUAGGGCUGUUGCGGCGAUGCGUUCCGUAUACCGGCGAAGCAAGCGCGGGUGUGGCGAAGCGCCGGUCGCUUGAAGGAAAAAAUUUGACGGUCCGACAAGAAACGUGUCUUGUUACAGAUGAGUGUCGGAAGUGAAGUCUGCAAUAACGCACAGAUUCCGAAAGAAAUCUCCGCCGCGUCGAGAGGCGCUCGCUGUCGCCCGCUUGACGGUUUAUCGAGAGCACAGCUGCCUUUCCUCUCAACUCGAACGCAGCUCCACUCCGAGUGCACACUUCUGCCGAGUCCACCGAUGGGCUGGCUUCUCGAGUUUCACUCUGGAUCUACUCCCUUAGAGGCGCCGAUCGCAGCGGCGCUCUCGGAGGAAGAAAUCCAGUUCUCUGCGCGGUGCGUCCGCUCUCAAAUUCGCGUCAACCUCUCGAAGGAACUCUUGUCUCACUUGUAGACCAGAGCCAAGCCCCCCGCGACACACCUCACGGCACGCGAGUAUGGGAAGGACACAGAGGGAUUUUUUUUCUGUACAGCCCGCUUUGGGCUUCCAAAUUAUCGCGCGUUCUCCGGGAAGCGAAGCAUCGCUGUGAAACCGCAAAGCACUCAAAAAAAUUGACUAGAGAAGCUCAGCUUCUCCCUGGCUAAGGGCCCGUACCCACAAACGUCGCGACCUGCCUUCGCACGGCCGUCCCUGCUGCCCCCGGUCGCCUCUCGAACCUUCACUCUUCGUCCACGGGAGGCCCGCCGGCUCUUCGACUUUCUUUUUCUCGUUCGUUCUGGGAAGGCGCAAACGGUUGUCGGGGGUUUGCGAGUCGAGAAAGUCAAGAAAGCAGCCGGAGAAAUGAAACUGGAAAUCGCGAGAAACCUCGAGGACUAUGCGGGAGGGAGAAAAGCAGACGCCUCGCGAUCCAGUCCGAGCAUCGAGGACGGUUCGUCUCCGUCUCGUCUGGGAGCAGUCCCGGCACAGAACCCACAAGAAAACGCUUUCUUCCCCUCCUUGCGCAUUCCCACGCACAUCGCCGUCCGAAAGCUUCUUCCCCUCGGGGCAGGUUCUCACCUACCACGCGCCCGUCCAUCGGGGCCGACUCGACGCUGACCGGGUGUGCCCGGCGCUUCGAGCGAGGGAGGGAGAAGCCGGAGAGUAGAGCACGAGUUGAGGAUUCCGGAAGCCGGGGAUAGCGCUGCAGAAGACCGGGACGCGGAACACUGGCCGUCGGCGGAAGAGGAAGUGGGCGAAACGAACCGAUUUCCUUCGGGAGUAUUCGGGGGAAACGCAGAAUCGAAGACGGAGACAGCGAAACGGGCACACUGCCGUGUCUAGGUUUGUGCUUUGAGACUUGCUCCUCAAAACGCGCAACCCCAGAAUUAACCAGCUUUGGAUUUUGUCCAGAGUCACACGCGUGCGCGACAGUGAACAGUUCAGUCAGUAGACAAAAAGAGGCGGUGCCGAGACAAGCAGGCGGCAGGUAGAUACUGAAUGGAAACGAAAUAAAGAACUCGAAGACAACAGGCGACAGAGAGACCCUUCAUACCAGGCACAAGUUUCAAAGGGGGGAGGAGGAGGGGGGUGGCAAGGAUUCGGCUAUGGAGUAAGCGUGUGUGGGCGAACUUUGUUGGAGCUUAAACGAUGAAAAAGGCUCGGAAGAUGCUAUCAUUGAAUGGAAUCGGGUGAACCGCUUGCGAAAGUUGUCGUGUUGCCCGUGAUACGCCGUGGGAAUGGCCGCAAGUGUCAAGAAAGUAGCCGUCGGGGCGCCAGGAGUGUCGGCAGAACAAGAAUGAUUCCGUACUUGAUACAGACACCCUUUCUCGGAGUUCUCUGCGGGUUGGCUUUUUCAGAUCUUUUAAUGACCUUCCUAUUGGACACUAACCGCUGACGGCCAGAAGUCGAUGCUUUUCUGUCAACUGGCGAACGCAUUAGAGCAGCCACGGUGCUGAACCUGAGAUUGGGUUGUGUACCCUUUGCGUUUGCUGACAGUUCGCAAUUUUCUGUUAGAGAAAUCGUGUCUCGGUCGUUUGUUCCAAUGAAGCUGUCGACCGUUGGUUCUCGCAUAGAGGCGUCCACUAAAAACGCGGUAAUUACAGUACGUGUCCCAACUAUGACCUUUGUGUACUUCGUACUGCCUUCGUACGCAGGGCAUGGUUACUUCUGUGCACCAAUCAAUAUAUUGAUGGUUCGAACUUGUAUUCCCCAGGACUAAAGCAACCUCCUGGUUCCUAGUAUCUUUCGGUUCUGUGCUAUCUCAACAUUCGAGCUACCGGGAGUUGGAGGACAUCGCAGCAAAAAGGGAAAUUCCGGGGAGAAUGUUGGCCAAAACUCGCACAGAGGAAGAAGCGUUGUCUCGUGUUGACGUCGACCGGAGAUAAAGUGUCUGUUGUGGUCUUUCACUGCUACUCGGCGCCGGCGUUGUCGCAGACGCCGGGGGGUGCAGAGGGCCUGUGGGAGGCGCACAUUCAAGAGUUGUGUGAAGGUACAGAAAGCCCCACUUCAGCAAUAUUGGUCGCAGUCGGUUUUUCCAGUUGAUAGGUGCGACCGCACCAAGCCAGGCACUAUAGAUAACGUGGAAGCCCAUUUGAUUUCCAUGAACGGAGGUACACAUUAAAUAUUACGCUGUCGUGGUUUGUAGCAAGUCAGCAUUAAAACAUGCCCAGUGUAACGGUCAAACGUGAUGCAGCGUACUCUUCUGUGUUCUCAGCUGUAAACAAGGGACUUUUAGACUCAAAAUGUGG
rnacentral:lncRNA from 1 species